GGUGCAGUAGCUCAGUUGGUCAGAGCGCCGGGCUCAUAACUCGGAGGUCGAUGGUUCAACCCCAUCUUGCACCACCA
rnacentral:tRNA from 2 species